rnacentral:misc_RNA from 1 species
UAAUCGUGUUGCAAUAGCUGAAGCUGGUGCCAUUCCUCUGCUAGUCCAUCUUCUAUCCACACCAGAUUCUCGAACUCAAGAGCAUGCUGUUACAGCACUUCUCAACCUUUCCAUAUGUGAGAAUAAUAAAGGACACAUCGUAACUUCAGGGGCAGUGCCUGGUAUUGUUCAUGUACUCAGGAAGGGGAGCAUGGAAGCACGUGA